GCAUACACCUGAGUGACUUUAGUGGACAUCUGAAGUUUCCAACUAAGGCACGCGGUGAAUGCCA
rnacentral:pre_miRNA from 1 species